rnacentral:rRNA from 1 species
GAAACUAACAAGGAUUCCCCUAGUAGCGGCGAGCGAAGCGGGAAGAGCUCAAAUUUAUAAUCUGGCACCUUCGGUGUCCGAGUUGUAAUCUCUAGAAGUGUUUUCCGCGUUGGACCGCACACAAGUCUGUUGGAAUACAGCGGCAUAGUGGUGAAACCCCCGUAUAUGGUGCGGACGCCCAGCGCUUUGUGAUACACUUUCAAUGAGUCGAGUUGUUUGGGAAUGCAGCUCAAAUUGGGUGGUAAAUUCCAUCUAAAGCUAAAUAUUGGCGAGAGACCGAUAGCGAACAAGUACCGUGAGGGAAAGAUGAAAAGCACUUUGGAAAGAGAGUUAACAGUACGUGAAAUUGUUGGAAGGGAAACGCUUGAAGUCAGACUUGCUUGCCGGAGCUUGCUUCGGUUUGCAGGCCAGCAUCAGUUUUCCGGGGUGGAUAAUGACGGUUUGAAGGUAGCAGUCUCGGCUGUGUUAUAGCUUUCCGUUGGAUACAUGCCUGGGGGACUGAGGAACGCAGCGUGCUUUUUGCGAAAGACU